rnacentral:rRNA from 1 species
GAUGAACGCUGGCGGCGUGCCUAAUACAUGCAAGUAGAACGCUGAAGGAGGAGCUUGCUCUUCUGGAUGAGUUGCGAACGGGUGAGUAACGCGUAGGUAACCUGCCUGGUAGCGGGGGAUAACUAUUGGAAACGAUAGCUAAUACCGCAUGACAACAGUUAUUGCAUGAUAACUGUUUAAAAGGGGCAACUGCUCCACUACCAGAUGGACCUGCGUUGUAUUAGCUAGUUGGUGAGGUAACGGCUCACCAAGGCGACGAUACAUAGCCGACCUGAGAGGGUGAUCGGCCACACUGGGACUGAGACACGGCCCAGACGCCUACGGGAGGCAGCAGUAGGGAAUCUUCGGCAAUGGACGGAAGUCUGACCGAGCAACGCCGCGUGAGUGAAGAAGGGUUUCGGAUCGUAAAGCUCUGUUGUAAGAGAAGAACGAGUGUGAGAGUGGAAAGUUCACACUGUGACGGUAGCUUACCAGAAAGGGACGGCUAACUACGUG